rnacentral:rRNA from 1 species
AACGCGAAGAACCUUACCUGGGCUCGAACGGCUUUGGAUCAUCUUUGGAAACAGAGACUUCCCGCAAGGGACCGGAGUCGAGGUGCUGCAUGGCUGUCGUCAGCUCGUGUCGUGAGAUGUUGGGUUAAGUCCCGCAACGAGCGCAACCCUUGUCCUGUGUUGCCACUCCCGUAAGGGAAGCACUCUCAGGAGACCGCCAGCGAUAAGUUGGAGGAAGGUGGGGAUGAUGUCAAGUCAUCAUGGCCUUUAUGUCCAGGGCUACACACGUGCUACAAUGGACGGUACAAAGCGCUGCAAACCCGCGAGGGGGAGCCAAUCGCAAAAAACCGUUCUCAGUUCGGAUCGCAGGCUGCAACUCGCCUGCGUGAAGCUGGAAUCGCUAGUAAUGGCGUAUCAGAACGAUGCCGUGAAUACGUUCCCGGGCCUUGUACACACCGCACUACUA